rnacentral:lncRNA from 1 species
GCGUAUAAACAUGUGCAUUGAAGCUGUGGAUAUUAUGACUUCGAAGUCAACAGCUCAUCUUGACUCAUAAAAUUUGAAAGUACAUAAAUUAGAUGUGCGCUGUUGCCUCACCGAACGGUUUACUGCAAAAUGUUUCUGGAUUCUUGACUUGAUUCAGCAACAUGAACCUUUUCAUUAUCUUUCUCUCCACACCACCCACCACCCCC